GAGUUUGAUCUUGGCUCAGAUUGAACGCUGGCGGCAUGCCUUACACAUGCAAGUCGAACGGCAGCACGGGAGCUUGCUCCUGGUGGCGAGUGGCGAACGGGUGAGUAAUGCAUCGGAACGUAUCCUGGAGUGGGGGAUAACGUAGCGAAAGUUACGCUAAUACCGCAUAUUCUGUGAGCAGGAAAGCGGGGGACCUUCGGGCCUCGCGCUCUUGGAGCGGCCGAUGUCGGAUUAGCUAGUUGGUGAGGUAAAGGCUCACCAAGGCGACGAUCCGUAGCAGGUCUGAGAGGACGAUCUGCCACACUGGAACUGAGACACGGUCCAGACUCCUACGGGAGGCAGCAGUGGGGAAUUUUGGACAAUGGGGGCAACCCUGAUCCAGCCAUGCCGCGUGAGUGAAGAAGGCCU
rnacentral:rRNA from 1 species